rnacentral:misc_RNA from 1 species
CGCACAUUGCGCCUCCUGGUAUUCCGGGAGGCAUGCCUGUCUGAGCGUCAGAAAAACACCCAUCGAUUUUUGUAAUUGGUUUAUGCCAUUUACGAUAAACGGUUUUUGAGUCUAUGAGACAUGUAUGUGCCGAAAGGUCAUUAUUCUCUGGCUUUAAAAGUUAACGUGUAAGAAAUGGCAGAGAAUCAGUAACUCUCCUCUUUCGCUGUGUUAGGUCAUACCAACUAUGUGAAAUGUGAUUAGUUCUGAAGCCAAACAAUAGUCGACGACACGUAAAUGGCUAUUCUAUUAUGGCCUCAGAUCAGGUAAGGAUACCCGCUGAACUUAA